AAAUAAGUGGCAGAAAAAUGCACAGGUUUUAAGCGCCUCAUAUGAAAUAUCUUUUUCCUUAUUUU
rnacentral:tRNA from 1 species